GGAUGUGAGGGAGAUCUGGCUGCCUCAUCUGUCAUCCCGUUGUUUGACAGGGUUGAUUCGGCUGAUCUGGCCAGCUGUCCCCAUCCUCCCUCACCAAUCCAUCUCUGUCCCUCCUAAGGCUGCACUCCCGGUUGAAGAGGACGACCUUCCCUGAUACAGGAGGACCGUUCUUUGGUCAAGGUAUUUGAAUAGCUGCAUUCCCCUGCUAGGACCUCCAAAUCAGCUCUCAAGGUCCGUUUGUCAAAGAAUGUAGGGUAGUCAAGCUUCCAAGUCUCCAGAUACAUGCAAAUGAGGUGCUGCGUGUGGCAAUCUGCCUUUCUUU
ensembl:misc_RNA 7SK 7SK RNA